UACGGAGGGUGCAAGCGUUAUCCGGAUUCACUGGGUUUAAAGGGUGCGUAGGCGGGCAGGUAAGUCAGUGGUGAAAUCCUUGAGCUUAACUCGAGAACUGCCAUUGAUACUAUCUGUCUUGAAUAUUGUGGAGGUAAGCGGAAUAUGUCAUGUAGCGGUGAAAUGCUUAGAUAUGACAUAGAACACCUAUUGCGAAGGCAGCUUACUACGCAUAUAUUGACGCUGAGGCAUGAAAGCGUGGGGGAUCAAACAGG
rnacentral:rRNA from 1 species